rnacentral:rRNA from 1 species
AGCGAACGCUGGCGGCAGGCCUAACACAUGCAAGUCGAACGGCUCUUCGGAGCAGUGGCGGACGGGUGAGUAACGCGUGGGAACGUGCCCUUUGGUUCGGAACAACACAGGGAAACUUGUGCUAAUACCGGAUGAGCCCUUCGGGGGAAAGAUUUAUCGCCAUUGGAGCGGCCCGCGUUGGAUUAGGUAGUUGGUGGGGUAAAGGCCUACCAAGCCUACGAUCCAUAGCUGGCCUGAGAGGAUGAUCAGCCACACUGGGACUGAGACACGGCCCAGACUCCUACGGGAGGCAGCAGUGGGGAAUCUUGCGCAAUGGGCGAAAGCCUGACGCAGCCAUGCCGCGUGUAUGAUGAAGGUCUUAGGAUUGUAAAAUACUUUCACCGGGGAAGAUAAUGACGGUACCCGGAGAAGAAGCCCCGGCUAACUUCGUGCCAGCCGCCGCCGUAACAC